GGCAUGGCUCAAUGACAGGGCAUCUUCUUUACAUGCAGAAAGUCCCAGGUUCAAUCUCUGGUGUAUAUU
rnacentral:tRNA from 1 species